rnacentral:rRNA from 1 species
AGCGAACGCUGGCGGCAGGCCUAACACAUGCAAGUCGAACGAAGUCUUCGGACUUAGUGGCGGACGGGUGAGUAACACGUGGGAAUGUACCUUUUGGUUCGGAAUAACGCAGAGAAAUUUGCGCUAAUACCGAAUGUGCCCUUAGGGGGAAAGAUUUAUCGCCAUUAGAGCGGCCCGCGUUGGAUUAGGUAGUUGGUGUGGUAAAGGCGCACCAAGCCUACGAUCCAUAGCUGGUCUGAGAGGAUGAUCAGCCACGCUGGGACUGAGACACGGCCCAGACUCCUACGGGAGGCAGCAGUGGGGAAUCUUGCGCAAUGGUCGAAAGACUGACGCAGCCAUGCCGCGUGAAUGAUGAAGGUCUUAGGAUUGUAAAAUUCUUUUACCAGGGACGAUAAUGACGGUACCUGGAGAAAAAGCCCCGGCUAACUUCGUGCCAGCCGCCGCCGUAAAAC